UAAUACAGAGGGUGCAAACGUUGUUCGGAAUUACUGGGCGUAAAGCGCGUGCAGGCGGCCUUGCAAGUCGGACGUGAAAUCCCACGGCUCAACCGUGGAAGUGCAUUCGAAACUGCGAGGCUGGAGUCCUGGAGAGGAAAGUGGAAUACUCGGUGUAGAGGUGAAAUUCGUAGAUAUCGAGUGGAACACCGGUGGCGAAGGCGGCUUUCUGGACAGGUACUGACGCUGAGACGCGAAAGCGUGGGGAGCAAACAGGAUUAGAUACCCUGGUAGUCCACGCCGUAAACGAUGAGUGCUAGGUGUCACGGGCUUUGACCCUCGUGGUGCCGAAGCUAACGCGUUAAGCACUCCGCCUGGGGAGUACGGCCGCAAGGCUA
rnacentral:rRNA from 1 species